UACGUAGGUCCCGAGCGUUGUCCGGAUUUAUUGGGCGUAAAGCGAGCGCAGGUGGUUUAUUAAGUCUGGUGUAAAAGGCAGUGGCUCAACCAUUGUAUGCAUUGGAAACUGGUAGACUUGAGUGCAGGAGAGGAGUGUGGAAUUCCAUGUGUAGCGGUGAAAUGCGUAGAUAUAUGGAGGAACAUCGGUGGCGAAAGCGGCUCUCUGGCCUGUAACUGACACUGAGGCUCGAAAGCGUGGGGAGCAAACAGG
rnacentral:rRNA from 1 species